GGCUUCCAAGUUUUAUAGACAGCACACAAUUAAAGUUGCUCAGUUGCUGCAACAAAACUUCGCUUUUAUGAACCUUUUUCGAAAUAAAAUCGAUAUGCCAUGCAGAGAGAGAGGUCAGUAUUAAAUUUAGCUAUUUUUUAAACGUUUCUGAGUUGUUCUUCUUAAGUUAUCGCUGUUUUUGAAACACGUGUGUACACACAUUCAUUGAUGUAUUGAAUUCGAUUCCAUUCAAGCGCUUCGUUUCGGCGCUUAGUCGCUUUAUUUCCUUGGUGUUUCUCGCUCACUUUAAGCAGUAAUGUUCAGAAAUACCUCAGCUUUGAUAUAUGUAACUCAUAUUUAGUUUAUCUGCGAUUUCAGGGCGAAAAUUUGAAGAGAAAGAGUGAACUAAUUUAAGUCGCCGACAUGGUCGAAAACGCAAAGUACUUGGUAAGUAUAACUAAAGGCGUUUCCUUCUUGUUUUUUGUUUUUGUUUUUAAGCUUCCCUUAUACACCUAGAACGUCUUCUAGUAAAGCCUUGUCGCUUUAUGAACACUCUGUCAAAUUUAGUUAAAAUUUUGUUGAAACUUUUAUCUGUACAGAACGAAAUGCCGACUUAUUUUAGGCAUGUUGAAUUCGACAUGCAUUUCAAACAUUUUAGCUUCUACAAACUUGUCGUUUAUGUACAAAUUGUACUCUGAGAGGGAAGGCUAAGCAUUUUGACUUUGUUGAGGUCGAAUUUAACCCAAAUCUUUAAUUUGAAGAAGUUCAGAGAUGAAAUGUCCUCGUGGUUCAUGCUCUGAUAUUAAUUUUAUGCAUACAUGCACGCAUUCUGGUCAUGAACCACAGCCUGUAUAAACCACAUUAAAAUAACUCUCCACUGUUAAAACUAAAAAUGCAUUAUCCAACUUUUUUAGAUUGCCUCAAGUUCGAUCAUUUUGACGGAAAACAGUACAGAAAGACCUCUGCACAGAUUUGAAGAGACGCUCGCUAGCAGUCGAAACAAAACGAGAAGACUGGAAGGCAAAGGCCAAAUGAAGACCGUCAGCUAACCCACAGCUGUUAUCGUCGCAUUUCGUUUGUACCACGUUUGGACGAGAGAGUAACCAAGGCAUAUAAUACCGUAAUAGUCUGACAGUCUUUCGCUCAGUCAGCCAAUUGUGAAUGGGUGCCAAGACCUGUCAAACCACGACACGACGCCGUACCAUCCAGGAACCCUAUCACCAUCGUUUCCAAGAUUGGCACUACGGAUUGCCUACCUAUACCAGCCUAUGAAAUAGGCGUGAAAGAUGCUGUACGUUACAGAAGGUAUAUUUUUCUCGUGAUUCUCGUUGGUCGUGUUCGAAAGGCGUGGGGGGGGGGGGCACCCUGAGGACGCCCAAAUGCAAAAACAAAUUUAAAUAUGGCACUUUUUCCUUAAUUUCGCAAUUUAUUCAAAUUUUUUACAUUUCCUGGAAUUUGUGAAACGCUCUUAACGAAAUCGAAAUGUUUGAAAUUCGGAAGGUUUUAACUGGGAGUUUGUUUAUUUGAAAGAUAUUUGAAAUGAAAUUUUAAAAUUUACAUCACUUUGGUAUUUGGUUUAAACGCUAGGUAAAAUUAUGCCAGAUGAGUGACCGACCAUUCGUCGAGGCUUGGCGGUACUUCGGCUCGGACUUUUCCGACCUACAGUCGAGUUGCUCUGAUCGAUUGUCGUGAUCAACUAGCACAGGUGCAAGGUCUGGCCAACCUUACAUCGGUGCUUUUUGUUCGUGGCAUGAGAUUGGGACAGCUCGCCUGUAGGCCUGGAAAGAUCAAGCCGAAGUACCACCAAACUUUGAUUUGUGGUCGGUUUUUUGUCUGUAUGGUUUUAUUCAGCGUUUUCCCGUUACCAUUUUGAUGCAGACUUUGGGAUUUUGGCUUGAAUAUCUUUGAUAUAAACAUUCUUUGAGGUUUAAUCUUUCAAGAAUUUCAUGGUUUUUGACUAGUUAAUGUGUUGCUCGCAGAUAUAUAAUUGUAUUUAAAAAAAAAUAACCAAUAGAAUUUAAAACUGACCAAAACGUCAUUUGAGGUGUCCGAUGGGAGGUCCAGUGGGAGUCGUAGCGGAUAUCAAUGGAUAAAUACCAAUUACUGGAGAUCGAUACCAUGUGAACAUUACUGGAUUCUUAUGAACAUUAAUGGGUUACUAUGAACAUUGAUGGAUUACAACGAACACUUCAGGAUUAUUGUGAACAUUAGUGGAUAAAAUGUAUCUCGCGAUCGACGGUUAACCUGCCGAUGUACCUUGAUAACGAAAGCUGCACCGCGGCAACGAGAUGACUGCCUCAAGGUUAGAGGAUUUGAUUGUUAGUCUGAUAACAGGCAGUGGUUAGCUUGUUAUCAGGCAGUAGUUAAGGGUUAGCCUGCUAUCAGGCAGUAGUUACCCAAGACUCUAAUUUGCAUGUGUUCGGUGAAGUCUU
rnacentral:lncRNA from 1 species